UUUAUCGUCAGUAGCGGCGAGUGAGCGGCAAAAGCUCAAAUUUGAAAUCUGGCGUCUUUGGCGUCCGAGUUGUAAUUUGAAGAAGGUAUCUUUGGGCCCGGCUCUUGUCUAUGUUCCUUGGAACAGGACGUCACAGAGGGUGAGAAUCCCGUGCGAUGAGAUGACCCGGGUCUGUGUAAAGUUCCUUCGACGAGUCGAGUUGUUUGGGAAUGCAGCUCUAAGUGGGUGGUAAAUUCCAUCUAAAGCUAAAUAUUGGCGAGAGACCGAUAGCGAACAAGUACAGUGAUGGAAAGAUGAAAAGAACUUUGAAAAGAGAGUGAAAAAGUACGUGAAAUUGUUGAAAGGGAAGGGCUUGAGAUCAGACUUGGUAUUUUGCAUGCUGCUCUCUCGGGGGCGGCCGCUGCGGUUUACCGGGCCAGCAUCGGUUUGGAGCGGCAGGAUAAUGGCGGAGGAAUGUGGCACGGCUUCUGCUGUGUGUUAUAGCCUCUGACGAUGCUGCCAGCCUAGACCGAGGACUGCGGUUUUUAACCUAGGAUGUUGGCAUAAUGAUCUUAAGUCGCCCGUCUUGAAUCGGGAACACAA
rnacentral:rRNA from 1 species